UGUCAUUGAAAGUUCUUGANAUUUUUGGU
rnacentral:piRNA from 1 species